CAUAUAUCCUUAUACCCUACGUUUAUCCUCGCGAAUGUUUUUAUUUAUUUUCUUUUUUCUUUCUUUUUUGUUGUUAUUGUUAUCGCUGUUGUUGCUUAUUAUUAUUGUUGUUCAUGAAGAAGGAGGACUACAAAAGCAGCCAUUUAUUUUAUUACAACGAGAAGUGAAAUUCACAGAUUAUUUAACGAAGGUAAUUGUUCAACCUCGGCACGCGUUAAACCACGUGGCUUAGCUUCUCCAAGUCUUUCCGCCAAGGAUAGAAGAGCCUCGUAAUUUUCCGUAGCUGAAUCUGGCGAGGACAAGUCUGCAUGGCUGUAUGGAGAUAAAGGUGGAUUGCUGAACAUCGCUCUAAAAUUUUGUUUUUAUAUAUUUCUGAUUAUCACCAAAAAAAUUAUAAGCAAUAUUAAAAAUUAAUAUGAUUCGAAACUUACAAGAAAUGUAACAAGAAUCCUGGAUAUGUUGUAGGUGGUAACGGAGGCGUGCCUCUCCAUCUACUCGAUCUUGGUCGCCUAAGAGUAUGAACGUUCGAAGCUGCUCUACGAGUUCUUGUCUGAAUCAUUUCUAACUGACUAUUUCGCGUCUCAGAUAAGAAAAUCGGAGACGGUGUUGUAACUUGAGUAAGAGCUGGAGGAGAAUACGAAUGUGGCAAUGGUAACGGUGCACCGGCAGUAGCUCCAACUCUGUGAUGAUGAUGGGAUUCUAUUAAUUCCAAUUCUACCUCUCUCUGAAAGAAAUAAAUACAAAAAUAAAUAGGAUGCCUUAGCAAUUAUAAUAUAAUUAUAUUUUCAUUACGUUCUUCCUUUUAUUACCUGCUGAGAGAGUUGGUGGUGGGCUGUAUAAUGAGUAGUAUGGACGGGUGGAGGUGGUGCAUGUGCAUGAUGAAGAGCAGCAACUGGACCACCUGCAGGUGUUGGAUACCCUCUAGAGGCUGCACCAACUAUGGAUCCUACUAAACUAUGACCAGGAUGAGUUGCAUGAGUAGCAGGAUAAUGAUUAUGAUGAUGCGUUACCUAAAAAAUAUCAUUUAUUUCUAUACAUGAAGUUGGUGUAUAAAUUCCAUGCAGCUGACAAGGAAUUCUAUAACUUGUCGCUUGUGGAUGCCACAAUGGUUCUCCGCUAACAGCGACACCAAGACCUGAGACACCGACUUGACCCACAUCAACUACUACUGGUCCGUUAGCGCCUUGCGCAGGAUGAUGUCCUGUGCCAGAUGGAUGUCGAGGAUGCGUUUGAUGCGCAUUGUGAAUAUUGUGAUGCGAACUAUGUAGAUUAUGAUGGGAAUUAUGGAUAUUGUGAUGAGAACCAUGAAUUCCAUGAUGGGAAUUAUGAAUUGUGGGAUGGGGAUUAUGGCCAGGAAUAAAGGGAUAGGAAAGACCAAAGGAAUCCGUGUAUCGUUGAUAACGAUUUCUCAUUGUAGGACUACCACGAGUAGACAUAUGGUUACGUGGAGAUCGACGCUGUGAGGCCGAUGAAAAUUCCCAGGUUGGUGGGGUCGUGUGUAAAGGUGGCGUUGGUGCGGGUGGUGUAGUUUCUCGUACUUCAAUUCCGGAAACCGUACCAUUUCUAGAUAUCCGACGACGUUUUCUAGACGGAGAUUCGCUCUAAAAUAAUAUUCGACCGGUUAGACGAUUGGUCUAUCCCUUCAGUUACAAUUAUUUUAUCCUUUCCUACAGAUUAUAUCUAGGUUCUCUAUGUUCAAUUGUCUCUAUAUUAACGAUUUAUAUAUAUAUAUAAUAUAUUUAAUAAAAAUUGGAAAAACAUUUUGAACUCGAAA